UUUGUCAUUUGAUAUUUUUUUGUGAAUUUUCUCUUUUCUGGUUAUUUUUAAUUCAUUUUAAAUAGUUUUUGAUAUUCAAAAAAUGCAAAAAUAUUUUCCUAACCUAUUUGAAUGAUGAUAUUUUUAAUUCAUUUUAAAUAGUUUUUGAUAUUCAAAAAAUGCAAAAAUAUUUUCCUAACCUAUUUGAAUGAUGAUGGAUCUAUGAAAAAUAUUCUCAUCAAUUUU
rnacentral:lncRNA from 1 species